ensembl:lncRNA
CUUCUAGUUCCGACAAUGCAGUAAUAACGAACAAGUAAUCUAACUAACAAUUCCAAAAAACUACUGUCUUAUACACAGUGUAAGGGGAUAAAGAAUAUGUACAUAAAGAUAUAUGAAUGAGUGAUGGUACAGAGCGGCAUAGGCAAGAUACAGUAGCUGAUAUCGAGUACAGUAUAUGCAUAUGAGAUGAGUAUGUAAACAAAGUGGCAUAGUUAAAGUGGCUAGUGAUACAUGUAUUACAUAAGGAUGCAGUAGAUGAUAUAGAGUACAGUAUAUACGUAUACAUAUGAGAUGAAUAAUGUAGGGUAUGUAAACAUUAUAUUAGGUAGCAUUGUUUAAAGUGGCUAGUGUCAUUAUUUCCAUGUCGAUCCUAGUAGAAGAAACAGCCCUUAUGAUUUCAUGGUGAACUUCAUUGUAACCUCCUGAACGUCCUGUGAACCAGCCACUGUUUCUGGCAGCAGAAUGCAAAGAACAACAGAAGCCAAAACCACAUCAGGAAGAUCAUAUUUAUACAAGAGUCAGAAAGGCAAACAGGCAGGUUGGAGAUAGUGAAACAGACAGGUUGGAGAUAGUGAAACAGACAGGUUGGAGAUAGUGAAACAGGCAGGUUGGAGAUAGUCAAACAGACAGGUUGGAGAUAGUGAAACAGACAGGUUGGAGAUAGUGAAACAGGCAGGUUGGAGAUAGUCAAACAGACAGGUUGGAGAUAGUGAAACAGGCAGGUUGGAGAUAGUGAAACAGACAGGUUGGAGAUAGUCAAACAGGCAGGUUGGAGAUAGUGAAACAGGCAGGCUGGAGAUAGUGAAACAGGCAGGUUGGAGAUAGUGAAACAGGCAGGUUGGAGAUAGUGAAACAGGCAGGUUGGAGAUAGUGAAACAGGCAGGUUGGAGAUAGUGAAACAGGCAGGUUGGAGAUAGUCAAACAGGCAGGUUGGAGAUAGUGAAACAGGCAGGCUGGAGAUAGUGGAACAGAAAACUAUAUUGUUUGUUAUUGAAACUAUAUGUCCCAGUGAUUUCACAGCCAAUCACAACACUGGGCGGGAGAAAUCCAUUUCACAGCCAAUC